UUGGAAAGUGGACAAGUGCUCACAGCACGGAAGCUUGUCAGCCAUUGUGAAAUUAACCUUGCUUGUGGCAGAUGUCGUCACCACACCGACGCCUCCUGUGGAGUCACGGCCACGGUUAAGGAUCACAGGAAGGGAGCGGGCUCCUGGCCCACGCACAGCGCUGCCUCUGCCCCUGCAGCUGCCUCACCAUCCUCCCCGCCUACGCUGUCCACGCUGGGUGGUCGCUGUCUCGGGGCAAGUCUUCCACCUCCGCUGGACCUAGAGCUCAGCGGGGCAGGAAUCGGGGCCAGCCACAUCAGUCACGGCCAUGUCCCCUGCUACUGGGGACCCCGGGCCAGAGGAUGCUCAUGGGAAAUGAGCGCUCAGCCAGCUGGUCCCCUCCACGCAAGGCAGACACUGGACAAGGCCCACUGCGGGUUGCCCAGCUCAGCGACCUGCACAUAUCCCGGCCCACACAGCCUAGGAAGGGACACGGCACCUGCUCUGUGCCAUGCACAGGUGCAGGGGGAUCCCUUUGGUCUCUCCUGCACCUGCCACCUGCCCUGCCCAACAGGGGACAGUGCUGUGGAGCAAGCACAGAGGCACUGGCUCCCUGGCUCUGAGCUGAUCUCUGGGGCUGGGGGACGGCCAGCUCUAUGCCCACACAAACCUGUGUCAGGCCAGGUUCUGCCAGGCCAUGGCUGGGUGACCCUGGGGAGGUGACUUUGCCUCGCUGAGCCCGGGUUCCUUCCCGCUAAGUGGAGUGGAGCCUGCCCAGGUGAUGCGUUGUCAGCAGGACUGACAGACAUCAUGUGUCUCAGGGUCUGGCCAUGGAAGGUCACCGAAGACCACCCCACGCCCAGGACUGGAC
rnacentral:lncRNA from 1 species